rnacentral:misc_RNA from 1 species
GAAAUAGAAAAUGGUAUUGUAAUUUUGUACUACAUUAGCAGAUAUGAGUAAUCAAGCAUCAUAUUCAUUCCAUAUGCAUAAAUUAUACAAUGACCACUGAGCAAAGCUAGAAAAAUAGAAAACAGUAUCAUAAUUUAUUUCUGCAUAUAAAAUUCCAAUGAUAAAUAACUAUCAACUUUCAUCAAUAGUGAGCAUCCUCUACAAACCAAAUUUUAAAAAAAU